GGGGUUGUGGCUCAGCGGUAUAGUGCUCGUCUAGUACAUGUGAGGCACUGGGUUUGAUCCUCAGCACCACA
rnacentral:tRNA from 1 species